rnacentral:tRNA from 1 species
AGCUUUAUAUUCAAUGAUGAUGUAAAAUUGCAAAUUUUAAGGAAUAUUUUUAAUAAAUAUUAAGGCUU